CCCAGACAGCCAGGAUGUUGGCUUAGAAGCAGCCAUCAUUUAAAGAAAGCGUAAUAGCUCACUGGUCGAGUCGGCCUGCGCGGAAGAUGUAACGGGGCUAAACCAUGCACCGAAGCUGCGGCAGCGACACUCAGGUGUUGUUGGGUAGGGGAGCGUUCUGUAAGCCUGCGAAGGUGGCCUGUGAGGGUUGCUGGAGGUAUCAGAAGUGCGAAUGCUGACAUAAGUAACGAUAAAGCGGGUGAAAAGCCCGCUCGCCGGAAGACCAAGGGUUCCUGUCCAACGUUAAUCGGGGCAGGGUGAGUCGACCCCUAAGGC
rnacentral:rRNA from 1 species